rnacentral:lncRNA from 1 species
UUUUGGUACUUUCUUCUGUGUUGUUCGCUGUGUGUGUUAAAGAAGAAAAGCCGUUUCUACUAAAUCAUUCUCCCAAGAUUUUGUAUGUAAGAUUUACAUUUUUUUGGGGGAGAAAAAAUAAACGUAUAAUUUUGAAACAAAAAAUAAGAAAAAUCUUUAAAAAGAGUGUAUACACUAAUUAACAGGUUUUGUUGGACAUUUGUGACAGUUUUAGAAAGAAGUUAUUUAUUUUUCAUCAGACGAAAAAUGCUGUAGAUGAAACGAAAAUCAGCGAAGUGUAGCGCAGCCCUCGCAUUCAAAUCCAAAAUGUCAUUGGUACCUUCCAAAGUACUUAUUCAUGUUCAACAUUAAUGCAGUAUCCUGCCAAUACUAACACUAUUAAUUAUUAUUUAGACUUUAAUUAAAUAUUUCUAUAAAUAUGCUUAAUGCUUUUUAGCUUUUAUUAUUUAUAUUAAAUUUAAUUAUUAUUCAUUUUUAAAUUAUUUAUAAGUAUAAUUAUGUUUAUUUUUUAAUGCUUUGUAUUACUAUGCGCAUUGUAGUUUAAAUAGUAAAUGGCUUUUUGUUAAGUAGUUCAAGUUUUGCUUUAGUUUUUAAUUUAAAUUAUUAUGAAAUAAUAAA